rnacentral:rRNA from 1 species
AUGAACGCUGGCGGCGUGCCUAAUACAUGCAAGUCGAGCGAACGGACGAGAAGCUUGCUUCUCUGAUGUUAGCGGCGGACGGGUGAGUAACACGUGGAUAACCUACCUAUAAGUCUGGGAUAACUUCGGGAAACCGGAGCUAAUACCGGAUAAUAUUUUGAACCGCAUUGUUCAAAAGUGAAAGACGGUCUUGCUGUCACUUAUCGUUGGAUCCGCGCUGCAUUAGCUAGUUGGUAAGGUAACGGCUUACCAAGGCAACGAUGCAUAGCCGACCUGAGAGGGUGAUCGGCCACACUGGAAAGGAGAAACGGUACAGACUCCUACGGGAGGCAGCAGUAGGGAAUCUUCCGCAAUGGGCGAAAGACUGACGGAGCAACGCCGCGUGAGUGAUGAAGGGCUUCGGAUCGUAAAACUCUGUUAUUAGGGAAGAAAAUAUGUGUAAGUAACAGUGCACAUCUUGACGGUACAUAAUCAGAAAGCCACGGAUAGCUACGUG